rnacentral:tRNA from 1 species
CAGAAAAUAGUUUAACGUUAGAAUUCUGGCUUUGGGUGCCAGGGGUAGGAGUUAGAAUCUCCUUUUUCUGG